GAGAAGGAGCUCGAGCGGGAGGCAAGCGAGAGGCUCUUUUGCUCCUCCCAAAGCAGGGGGCGGCUCCACUGUGCUUCUGAUGACCCGGCCGCCGCCGCCGCCCUGCAACCGCUCCCCGGGACCCCUCAACGCUGACACUGAUGACCCGCGGCGGGGGCGCUGGGCGCGGGGUGCGCAGGCCACUGGCCGCGGGCUCUCGGGCCCGCUCCUGCCGCCGGCUUCUGCUGCUUCCGCGGUAAUGACACUCGGCGGAGCGGCCGCCAUCUCUUCUGUGCCGUGGACACUGCCAGAAUUUGUCAAAGGUCCUAGGAAGAAAAGGCUCUUUCACCCCUCCCCUCAAUGAACAGAUGGCGUGUUUGGACUGUUCGCAUUCGCUCCUCAUAGGGACAAAUGAAUCUCUUCCCACGCCAUGGGAUUUCCCUUGAUUUUUAUAUUGGGAGUGAAAAGAUGAAGCAUGAGACUCUUCAGCUGCAUCUCGAACUGCAUCUAAUCCCAGCACAUCUCUCUCAAUCUUUGAUUAAGUCUGUUCAUCUAAA
rnacentral:lncRNA from 1 species